UGCAUCAGCUCCUGCUUCCUGACCUGCUUGAGUUCCAGUCCUGGCUUNCUUGGUGAUGAACAGCAGUAUGGAAGUGCUCACCACCCUUCAACACCAUGGGUGCAUGCUACCGCUAUAAUCCAAGAUACGGGCAGCCCAUUUCAGUUCCCAAGGUCUGGAAGUGCCGACACAGGCGCUCAGUAACCCCAGAUGAAGGUCAUGAAGUUAGAGUGUCAGGGUGCUUUGUUUAGAGUUGUGAACUACUUGAGUGUCUCCGCCAUGGGCCUGGACUAUGUGACCAUGGAGAACCACCCAUCUGCUUCUGCAGAGUGUGGAGAUGAAAGGCAAGCCCCGGAAGUUGCAUCCUAGAGGACUUCCAGAACAGAGCAUGUACUAGAGGAAGGCUGGGAGACCAUGGAGUGCUGCCAAGGGAGGAGUUUGACUUGGACCUGAGGGAGCCAGCCCCAGGGACAUCCCUGAGCUCAGCAGUGGACAGAUGGAUGUUUAUCUGGUUUCCCUCCCUUGUGGGAAGAGUAGAAGCAGUUUUCAAUGACAAUUUUAUUGUUAAGGAGA
ensembl:processed_transcript Gm13965 predicted gene 13965